rnacentral:rRNA from 1 species
UACGUAGGUGGCAAGCGUUGUCCGGAAUUAUUGGGCGUAAAGCGCGCGCAGGUGGUCCUUUAAGUCUGAUGUGAAAGCCCACGGCUCAACCGUGGAGGGUCAUUGGAAACUGGGGGACUUGAGUGCAGAAGAGGAAAGUGGAAUUCCAAGUGUAGCGGUGAAAUGCGUAGAGAUUUGGAGGAACACCAGUGGCGAAGGCGACUUCUGGUCUGUAACUGACACUGAGGC